GUGAUGAUCGACGCCAUCAAGGUUUCUGCUGCUCACAGGGCCCGGUACUUCUGGGGUAAUCUACCUGGAAUGAACAGGAUCUUCGGGUUCCCAGCUCACUACACAGACGUGUCCAACAUGGGCCGGGGCGCCCGCCAGAAGCUACUGGGAAGGUCCUGGAGUGUGCCAGUCAUCAGACACCUGUUUGCCCCCUUGAAGGACUACUUUGCAUGUGAAUAGUUCUACCCAGGACUGGGGUGCUCUUGGUCAGAGCCAGUGCCCAGAGUCACCCCUCCCUGAAGGCACCUCACCUGUCCCCUUCCUUAGCUCACCUGUGUGGGGCCUCACAUCACUGUACCUCAGCUUUCUCCUGCUCAGUGGGAGCAGAGCCUCCUGGCCCCUGCAGGGGAGCCCCAGGUGCUCCCUCUGUGCACAGCUC
rnacentral:lncRNA from 1 species